UACAGAGGUCUCAAGCGUUGUUCGGAUUCAUUGGGCGUAAAGGGUACGUAGGUGGCGGGGUAAGUCGGGUGUGAAAUUUCGGAGCUUAACUCCGAAACUGCAUUUGAUACUGCCUUGCUUGAGGACUGGAGAGGAGACUGGAAUUCACGGUGUAGCAGUGAAAUGCGUAGAGAUCGGGAGGAACACCGGUGGCGAAGGCGGCGACCUGGGUAGAUACUGACGCUGAGGCGCGAAAGCGUGGGGAGCAAACAGG
rnacentral:rRNA from 1 species